AGGAAGCUCUUCGAACUUGGGUUCAAAACCUCGGAAACCAAGCCAUUCUGGAAGUGAAAAAGAUUGCCUUGUUCAGGGUACAAAUGUGACAGAGGUAUUACGCCCAGUAGAUUUGGAGAGGUUCCCAUCCACGAUGUCCUGUACUGCAUUUGCAUCAAGGGACGCAAAGCGGUCACUGGACGCUUGAACUUUGGGCUCUACGGAAACGCCGCCUGUAUUUCCUAGUUCAGGGGCCAUCUCAGAACGGUUUUCAGCUUCAACAGCUGUUGU